GGAAGGUGGGAUGACGUCAAGUCCUCAUGGCCCUUAUGACCAGGGCUACACACGUGCUACAAUGGCCGGUACAAAGAGUUGCGAUACCGCGAGGUGGAGCUAAUCUCAUAAAGCCGGUCUCAGUUCGGAUUGGAGUCUGCAACUCGACUCCAUGAAGUUGGAAUCGCUAGUAAUCGCGGAUCAGCAUGCCGCGGUGAAUACGUUCCCGGGCCUU
rnacentral:rRNA from 1 species